UACGUAGGGGGCAAGCGUUGUCCGGAAUUAUUGGGCGUAAAGAGCUCGUAGGUGGUUUGUUACGUCUGCUGUGAAAACCUAGGGCUUAACCCUGGGCUUGCAGUGGAUACGGGCAGACUAGAGGUAGGUAGGGGAGAAUGGAAUUCCCGGUGUAGCGGUGAAAUGCGCAGAUAUCGGGAGGAACACCGGUGGCGAAGGCGGUUCUCUGGGCCGAUACUGACGCUGAGGAGCGAAAGCGUGGGGAGCGAACAGG
rnacentral:rRNA from 1 species